UGGUGGAGUGAUUUGUCUGCUUAAUUGCGAUGACGAACGAGACCUUAACCUGCUAAAUACCCCCUGUUGCUUCGGCAGCAGGCUGGGUUCUUAGAGGGACUAUCGGCUCAAGCCGAUGGAAGUUUGAGGCAAUAACA
rnacentral:rRNA from 1 species